GUGUGAAGAAGCACCGAGAACGACCCCCGGACCGACCAAAGCCGCGCACCGCUGCAGCCCGGCGUCCAGCGCCUGCGUCCCCGCCGUCGUCGCCAUGCCCAAAAGAAAGGCUGAAGGGGACGCCAAAGGAGAUAAAGCCAAGGUGAAGGACGAGCCACAGAGAAGAUCUGCAAGAUUAACCGCUAAACCUGCUCCUCCAAAGCCAGAGCCCAAGCCUAAGAAGGCACCUGCAAAGAAGGGAGAGAAAGUGCCCAAAGGGAAAAAGGGAAAAGCUGAUGCUGGCAAGGAUGGGAAUAAUCCUGCAGAAAACAGAGAUGCCAAAACAGACCAGGCACAGAAAGCCGAAGGUGCUGCAGACGCCGAGUGAAGCUGUGCGUUUUUGAUGACUGUGUACUUCUGGUGACUGUACAGUUUGAAAUACUAUUUUUUAUCAAGUUUUAUAAAAAUGCAGAAUUUUGUUUUACUUUUUCUUUUUAAAGCUAUGUUGUUAGCACACAGAACACUUCAUUGUUUGAGGGGGGAGGAACAUGUGUCACUAACAAAAUGUCUCCCAAGCUGGAUUGAUGUGGGGGAAUCACCUUUCCCUGCUAGUUUUUGAAGGACUCCUCUUGGCUCCCGGGAGGGUAUUUCCUAAUGCUGGUACCAUGUGGCCACCUUGGCACAUAAUGCCUUGUGGCAUGAGAAAAUUCAAAAUUGGUUUUUAUAUCCUCCUCUACCUCCACCUUCAAAUCAACAUAGACUUAACUCCCUUAAAAUGGGAGACUUGUUGGGACCAGCCCCCCUAAAUUGGUUUUGCCAGUACAUUGGGCAAUCUGGACUUCGCAGGGAUAUUAUUGGGAUGGUUCCUCAGAAGAGCAGUGGUUCCUUUUCUAAAAGAUUGUGGAUCUUCAGAUUGAUAAUUCUGCCAUGUUCAUUUCAUUUCCUGAAAGUCAGGGUCGGCUUGUGAAAAGUUGUUAAACAACAUGCUUAAUGUGAAAUGUCAGCCCUCACUCUAAACUUCCCCCAAUCAGAGCAUCAAAUAAAGACUUCACUGGAUUUUAUAGUGGCUUUCUGAUUUUGGUAGUCCAUACAAGAAGGGAGUUUGAAAGUUCUUGUAUACUGUUAAUGAUUGUCUGCCCAUGUCCUGCCUGAAAUACCAUGACUG